UUGGGGUGACGUGCCUACCACCCAGACCAGCCGCUGGGCCUGUUCCACUGGUCGGUCGCAGGUCUGCCUACCUUUCGGGCACGGGCGGCGGCUCUGCUCUGCCCCUACUCCAAAUGCGGUGACGAGACUACCACGCCGGCGGGCCGCUGGGCCUGUUCCGGGCGUGGGUGGCGGCUCUGCUCUGCUCCUACUCCAAUUGGGGUUACGUGACUACCACGCCGGCGGGCCGCUGGGCCUGUUCCGGGCGCGGGCAGCGGCUCUGCUCUACCCCUCUGGCUUGAUGACAAAGUGAGAGAGACUCGGGUGUUUGUGACUCACUUUCUUUACCAGGAGACCAACUGUUUCUGUCGCCACUGGUAUCGAUGAAGUUCUCUCCUCUGCCACUUUCUGAUGACAUCAGAUCUCUGCCAUGUUGAUCCAUGCGAAUGGCAGCAUUUUGUUCCGUUUGCCGGGUGACCAAGCAACGGGUUCAUAUCUUCUCCAUGUUGGCUUUGGGGUCAGAGAACUGGAAGACCAGCUUUUCAUGGAAGAGACUGCACAAAAGCUGUACUAUGAGGUCCCUGUAUUGCCUGCCUUUUGCCCCUGUUUUACCAUAAGAAAAAAAAUCUCUGAUGCAGACACUUUCCCGAAGCCCACAUUUUUCCUCCUCCAGUUGCUAAAAUAAAUCAUCAUAAGUCUGGGACAUAUCUUUGUCUUCUUGAGAACUUUUUCCCUGAUGUUAUUACAGUAUUUUAGAAAGAAAAAGAAGGGUAUAAGAUUCUGAAAGCCCAGCAGGGAAAUACCAUGAAGACUAAAGAUACAUACAUGAAGAUGAGCUGGCUAACUGUGACUGGAGGUCAAUGGAUAAAGAGCAUAAGUGUAUUGUUAAACAUGAGAAAAAUGAAGGAGGAGAUGAUCAAGAGAUUCUCUUUCCUGUAAUUAAGAAAGGUAUGUGCAUCUUAAAUGUAAACAUAAAUUUCCAUAAAAAAUAUUUUAAAGUGAAUUGUCCACAUUUUCA